AAGGAAAUGGUCCCACUGAGGCCCAAGACUUGACAGUGGAAGUCUUGCCAAUUUAAAGUCUAAUGAAGAUUGUGAAUUAUUGACUGGCACAAGUAGAGCUUCCUGCACUCAAUGAUGGACAACUGAAGGCCUGUGCUAGCACUCUGUUUGGUACUUAGGAGAGCCCUUGGAAACCACCUGCUCUUGUUUGAAUGUGUUCCCUCCAAAAUUCAGAUGUUGAAACUUAAUGGCCAAUGUGAUAGUAUUAAGAGGUGGGGCCUUUAAAGGGUGAUUAGACCAUAAGGGCUCCUCCCUCAUGAGUGAGAUUAAGGCCCCUAUAAAGGAAGCUUCCUGCAGCAUUCAGGCAUCUUGCCCUUCUGCCUUCCACCAAGUAAAGAUAGAGCAUCCCUCCCAUCUGGAGGACACAGAGCAAGGUACCGUCUUGGAAGCAGAGAGCAGCCCCCACAAGACACCAAACCUGCCAGUGCCUUGAUCUUAGACUUCCCAGCCUCCAGAACUGAACACCAAAUUUGAUGACUGUCUACACAAAGUACCUUCAUAAGACCCCAAAAUAAGAUGUGAAUUCUCUGCCUCUGUCUCUUCAAUCCACAAAACUGGCUUCUCUUCAAUCCACAAAACUGGCUGGCCUAGCCCUUGCUCGACUGUGAGAGUCCAGAAUAAAAAUUUGUUUGGAUUCCUAUUGUCUUUUAUGACCAAUUUGUCAAUUCCAGGGAACAAGGCUGUGGGAAUGCUGGAGAUGCUGCUUCCGGAAAUGUAUGAAAUAUAGGUCCAUGCAGUGAAUGCUGUCAUGAGCCUCCAAGAUCCAUCUUGGGGACUGAAGGUCUUCUCUCCCUCCAUGGUCACACCUCCUUUUCAGAAGCAGCCUGAACCCAAUGACCAGCCCAUAUAGAAGUAUAAAGAUUCAAGAGAACAAUUGUACAACAUGGUGACUUUCAUUAAUAACAAUCUAUUGGAGUCUUGAAAAUCGCUAAGAGAGUAGAUUUUAAGUGUUCUUACCACAAAAAAUGGUAAGUACGUGAGGUAAUGCAUAUGUUAAAUAGCUCGAUUUAGCCCCUCCACAAUGUAUACAUAUUUCAAAAUAUCAUGUUGUACACAAGAAAUGUAUAAAAUUUUUAUUUGUGAAUGAAAAAAGUAAUAAAUACAACUGUGAGUGCUGCAAAUAAAGAAGACGGUAUAACUAAUUUAGGAGGGUGUCAGAGAGUCAUCUUCCAAAGUAAAAUAUGAACAGAUACUAUUUCAAACUAAAAUAUUCACAUAUAGCAGUAUUAGCAUUUUUUUUAGUUAAUAAUUUUUUUAAAGCCAGAAGGAUUGUAAGUCAUUGCCUCAUAGUAGCUGGCAAUUGGUGCAGUGGUCAUAGCCAGGAUCUGUUGUUUGUAGUAACCCUAGGAUAACAAUUGAGAGUUUUUCAUCAUGGUAACUUCAGUAAAAAUGAAGACUAGAUUAAAACAACAACAAAAAAAGUAUAAAGACCCAACAUGCUCCACAGAAUCGGUUGAGAUCUUUGAUAAGACUGCAGCACUGCUUGACUUUUCCCUCUGCCAAUCCUGCUUCCAUUCCUUCCCCUCCUAUUGGUAUAGAUCCCAAAAGGACUCCUAAUAAACCUCUGCAAGCCAACCUUCAUCUUGGAUUUUGUUUCCUACUCCCCUGCAACAGAAAUUCAUUUUGCUCCUGCAGUAAACUACAUUCUCCAAUCUAGCACUUAUUUAUACUAAGAUGAGAUUUGGCCUACAGCUUCCUUACUCUCUGCCUUAUUUCUGAUUCAGAAUAUGGACAGGGAAUACGGGCACUAUUUAUCGGACUGCUUCAAAAUCCCAAUGGCCAUUCUCAUUAGGAAAUCCAGGAAAGAUCAGUGCAUAGAGGCAGGCAGGGUACAAUAGUGUCAUUAC
rnacentral:lncRNA from 1 species